CUACGGGCGGCACCAGUGAGGAAUAUUGCACAGUGGGGGGAACCCUGAUGCAGCAACGCCGCGUGGAGGAUGACGCAUUUCGGUGUGUAAACUCCUUUUAUAUGUCAAGAAAAUGACGGUAGCAUAUGAAUAAGCACCGGCUAACUCCGUGCCAGCAGCCGCGGUAAUACGGAGGGUGCAAGCGUUACUCGGAAUCACUGGGCGUAAAGGACGCGUAGGCGGGUUGGAAAGUCAGGUGUGAAAUCCUACAGCUUGACUGUAGAACUGCACUUGAAACUUCUAAUCUAGAGUAUGGGAGGGGGAGAUGGAAUUAGUGGUGCAGGGGUAAAAUCCGUAGAUAUCACUAGGAAUACCUAAAGCGAAGGCGAUCUCCUGGAACAUUACUGACGCUAAGGCGUGAAAGCGUGGGGAGCAAACAGGAUUAGAUACCCCAGUAGUC
rnacentral:rRNA from 1 species